UACUAGUCCUUGGUUCUUGGAUUCAUGCUUGCACCAAUACAUUGAUUCUUUGGGCUUUGGCUUGCUUUUGAUCUAUCAAGGAUUUUAAACCAUUUAUAGGUCAUCGUUAUGGAUUCAUCUAUGUUUAAUAAGGAUUCUUGCCAACCUACAUAAAUCCAUACAAGAAAACCCUAGUUUGAGAUCUACAGUUGACUUUGGACAACUGUUGACUUUUUGGUCAACUAGUUGACCAAAGUCAACCACUUUUAUACCAUAAUUCUUUCGACUUCGAUUCCCAAACUCUUGUGUUCAGACUGAGCCAAGAUGCACAAGUUGUAUCAAAACGAAGUCCGAAAAUCAUGAUCGCACUUGCAUUUUGAUUGGAGUAUUGCGUAUUGGUUUGUGUUUCUGGAUUGCAUCUUCAAAGCUCAACAUUGUGGAUCCAACGUCUUCACGUCUCAGAGCUUCACAAAUGGCAUCACGGAGCAUCGCAUUUUCUCCCCAAAAUUCGGAAUCGAAAUGAAAGAAAAGAAAAACCUCUUAAAAUAACAACACUAAAUCCAGUUCAUCCCUAUGUGUGCGCAACAUCAAAAAGAAGCAAAAUUGAAGUUGAAACUAUAAAACUAACCACGACGGAGUUUCUAACUCAACCAGGUCUGCUACAGGUGCGCUACUGGAUUGUUGCUAGGACGACCAUGUUUUGAAUUGGUGUGCGUGCGCUACUGGAUUGUUGCUAGGACGGUCAUGCUUUGAAUUAGUGUGCUUAACCUGCUGCAAUGUUGUUCAUGGCCCUGUUAGAGGUGGUCCAUGGAAGAGUGAAAAAGCUUGGUCUAGAGGAAAAUGGUGACAUGAAGCAUGAAGAUGGUGGAUGAAGAUGGUGUUUUUGAAUUUGUUCAUAUGUAAUGUGUAAAGAUAAUAACAUGGUUUAUGUACUUUGAAUCUUGAAUUUGAAUGAAAAAUUUGGAAAUGAAAAGUCAUUGAAUGUGCAUUGAUUUGCAUUGAAUGUUAAUUUUU